AAGAAAGAAGCAUGAGUGGUUUGAUGCCGUUGGCUUGAAACCAGCUGGUGAGGGUUCGAUUCCUUCCUUUCUUG
rnacentral:tRNA from 2 species